UCUUUCUGAUACGUGUAUAUAAUGAAUAUCUUAAACGUGAACAGAUUCGGAAAUGUUCGAUUCGUGAAAAUUUUCCCUUUAAAAUUUGGGAUUCGCGAAAUUUUUUCCUAUAUUACGUAUCUGAUGCAGUGUAUGGAGGCGUAUUUGAUGCAGUGUCCAAAUUGAUGGCCGCGUCUAACCCAUGAGCAAGCUCCGGACACCGCAUUGUGCAGGUGUCUGCUCCGCCUCCGCGUCGGUGUCCGCUUCGGGAGCGGGAAGCGCGCUCCAAACGGCGUGUCGGAGCAUCUUCUUGAGACCCAAAAUCCAGUUCUUUAGUAUGUCUGGAUUCCAGGGUUAAGAGUUAUGGAGCUAUUAGGAAAAUUGUGUGCGACCGAAAGAUUUUAUUCUUGUGUAGCACAGAAUCAGUUUAACGUUUAACGUUUAACGAUUGAUGAUUUUGAAUUGUAUGGUGUGCUUUUGCGGGAUUGAAUUAUACGGUGUGGUGUCUAAGGAUCAUCAAUGUGCUUUUUGUUGGGUUGAAUUAUACGGUGUUUAAAGAUCGACCGAUGUGAAUUUGUGGGAUUGAAUUAUAUGGUCCUUCAUCUUCUACCCAAUUUCAUUAUAGUUUUCUUGAAUUCAUGGGCUUUACAAGGAAACUAAAAAAUGAAGUGGGUGCGGAGUGUGUAAAUGGUGGUGGACAAGUUUGAGAAACGGUUGGAUGGAGAUCUGGUGAAACUUUAGAUUUUAUUGUCCUUGUAUGCAGUAUUUUCAUUGCCGUUUUUCUUCAUGCCAUGCUUGUGGAAUGGGUGAUCCUGUAAAUAAGCAUUCUUUGAGUGGGAGGCUUUGACAUUUGUGUUGUUGGACCGUUAACUCUGAACUUACUAUAAAGCUUUAUGUUUUAUUACGUUUCCAUUAAAUUCAUUCGCCUUGCAGGGAAACUAAUAAAUGAAGUUGCUGCAGGGUGUGCAAAUGGUGAGUGGUGAGGAGGUUUUGGAAACAGUGCAUGCGGUAGUGAAACCUUAGGUUUAAUUAUUUUUGCAUUCAUUAUUUUCAUUGCCAUUUUUCUUCCGGUUAAACUUGUGGAGUGGGAGAUAUUGUAAAUUCUUGUAAAUAUGCACUGCAUGAGUGAGAGGCCAUGACAAUUUUAAUUAACUUUUUCUACACAGUGAAGAGGAUGUCUAUUGGGUCAUGGCAUCAUUAGUUGUAGAUUAUUUAACUUACUAUGUUGCAGCGAAGAGGAUGUCUAUUGAGUCGUGGAGUUGUAUAUUAUUUAACUUACUACAGAGCUUUAUGGUUUAUUACGAUGGCUUUAUUCUCUCUCAUAAAUUGUAGGAAGGCACAUGUGUCAACCAUGGCUUGUCUUUGAGCAAGAACAAUACUUGAUUUUUCUGCACCAGUUUCUUAAUAAUUUGAUUUGUUUAUCCAUCUUAGUGUCAAGGUCCUUCAUCUUCCUCCGAGAUUGAUUAUAAUUUUCUUGAAUUCAUUGGGUUUUCAGGAAAACUAAGAAAUGAAGUGGGUGCAAGGUAUGCAAACAAAGGGUGGUUGGUAGGUUUUUGAAACUAAGAAAUGAAGUGGGUGCAUGGUGUUCAUAUAGUGGGUGGUUGGCAGUGAAUGGAGAUGAUGGAGAUCCGACGAAACCUUAGGUCUCAUUAUCUUAGCAUUCAUUAUUUUCUUUAUCAUUGUUCUUCAUGCUAAACUUUUGGAGUGGUAUAUGUUAUAAAUAGGCACUAUAUGAGUGAGAGACUUUGACAUGGGUCCUGUUAGACUGUUGACUCUGUUUAUGUUGAUUGUCUUUGUUUAGUCAUGUUGCGGCAAUGAGGAUAUUUGUUGGAUCGUGGAGGCAAAAGCUGUAAAUUAUUGAACUUACUUCAAAACUUUAUGUUUUAUUACGUCUCCAUGUAUUCUCAUUCUUGAGUGCUCGAGUUUGAGUUGUAGUCUCUCUUAUUGGUUAUAGGCAGGUACAUGUGUCAGCCAUGGUGUUUGUCUAAGCAAGUGCAAUACUUUAUCACUGAACAUUAUGAUCACCAAGCCUGUUAUGGAAAUUUGAGUUUUGGUUUUUUAGUUCUUGAAUUUGUUUAUUCAUCUUAUUGUCUGUCCUUCCUCUUCUACCCAAGUCGAUUUUAGUUUCUUAAAAUCUUGGGCUCUGCAGGAAAACUAAGAAAUGAAGUCGGUGCAGGGUGCGCAAAUGGUGUGAAAACAUUAGGGUAACUAAGAUGAAGUGGGUGCAGAGUGUGCAAAUGGUUGGUGGUAGACAGGUUUCAGAAACAGAUAUGGUGACCUUGUAAAUAAGCAUUCAGUAUUCAAUGCGGUUAUUCUUCAAGCCAAACUUGUGGAAAUAAGCAUUAUUUGAGUCAGAGGCUUUGACAUUUGUGAUCAUCAGAGCCUAUUUUUGGAUUUUCUCCAUUGGUUUCUCACUUCUUGAAUUUGUUUAUAUGAAGCUUUAUGGUGUAUUACGCUUUAAUUUACUAUUUUUGUUAUGGGCUUGUGUUGGAAUGUUUGUAUCCUCUCAUUCGUUGUAGGAAGGUACAUGUGUCAAUCGUGGCGUUUGUCUGAGAAAGAGCAAUGCUUGAUCUUUUAACAUUGUGACUUUGAACAUUGUGAUCAUCGAGCCCAUUAUGGUAGUUUUUCCAUUAGUUUCUUAA